rnacentral:rRNA from 1 species
ACUCAAAGGAAUUGACGGGGGCCCGCACAAGCGGUGGAGCAUGUGGUUUAAUACGUCACUAACCGUAGAACCUUACCAGGGCUUGACAUCUGGCGCACCGGGGUGAAAGCCUCGUUCCGAGUAAUCGGACGCCAAGACAGGUGUUGCAUGGCUGUCGUCAGCUCGUGUCGUGAGAUGUUGGGUUAAGUCCCGCAACGAGCGCAACCCUCAUCCCAUGUUGCCAGCGGGUGAUGCCGGGGACUCUUGGGAAACUGCCGGGGUAACUCGGAGGAAGGUGAGGAUGACGUCAAGUCAGCAUGGCCCUUACGCCCUGGGCUACACACAUGCUACAAUGGACGGCAAGACAACGCGACCCGAAGCCGUGAGGGGGAGGCAAUCGCUAAAUCCGUUCUCAGUUCGGAUUGCAGGCUGCAACUCGCCUGCAUGAAGUCGGAAUCGCUAGUAACCGCCGGUCAGCCAAACGGCGGUGAAUACGUUCCCGGGCCUUGUACACACCGCCCGU